ACAAGCGGUGGAGCAUGUGGUUUAAUUCGAUGCAACGCGAAGAACCUUACCUGGUCUUGACAUCCACAGAACUUAGCAGAGAUGCUUUGGUGCCUUCGGGAACUGUGAGACAGGUGCUGCAUGGCUGUCGUCAGCUCGUGUUGUGAAAUGUUGGGUUAAGUCCCGCAACGAGCGCAACCCUUAUCCUUUGUUGCCAGCGGUUCGGCCGGGAACUCAAAGGAGACUGCCAGUGAUAAACUGGAGGAAGGUGGGGAUGACGUCAAGUCAUCAUG
rnacentral:rRNA from 1 species